GCCAAGGGGACGCGCCAGUUCGGUUGCCGGCGGGGACUGCAGGGUCCCGAGCGACCGAUUUUCCCGUUGUCGUCGGAAGCGAAGUAUGCAGAUGGUAUUUUGGAAACCUUUCCUGCAGAAUCCAGACACCAGACAAAAUUACACUCUCCUGCAGGGCCACUUGUUAUGUCGGCUUCUUGGUGAGCACAGCUGGAAAGAGAAGACUGCAUUUAAGCCCUCAUUUACUCCCCUAGCCCGGGUGCUUUGACGCAGUGUGCUUCCAUUCUGCACAGCUCUAACCUCUGUGUGACCACUUGUGUCAGUUCAUGUUGGGUUUGGCUACAAGUAGUAACAAGUCCAAAAUAACAGGAACUGAAAUUAGAAGUCUGUUUCUCUCAUACAAAAGCAACUUGGAGAUAGGCAGUCCAGGGCUUGGGCUGCAUGGUGUCAGAUGUCCAGACUUCUAGCCUGCUGCUCCCCCCAUCCUAAUGAUGACAUGGGCGGCUGUUGGCCACACUGACUGCUCAAAUUCCAGCUGUCAUACCCACAUUCCCAUCAGCAGAAGGCACAUUUGUUUCCUUUAAGGACAUUUCUGUAGAAGUUACAUUUCUCACUUCUGCCUACCUCCUGCUAGCUAAAAUAUAGCUUUCUGAAGAUGCUUAGGUGAAGGAAAGAUGAAAAAUAUAUUCUAGGUGGCCAUGGGCUCAGCCAAAAAUCAGGGUGUUCACGAAAGGAGGAAAGAAUGGAUGGUGAUAGGUAACUAUUUAGCAAUAAACUGCAUAGCAUUUGACCACUCAGUUUGUUACCUAGCAACAUUUAAUCUUAGCAUCAGAUUUCACCAGUACCAAAGCCAAAACUUCUAAGGCCUUUUGUUAACUUUAAAUAACAAAGUAAGCGAACCAAGCAUGGAAAAUUCCACUUGAGAAUUGAUUGAUGUGUAUUUAAAAGGAGGAAUCUUGAAUGUCAUGCUUCAGGUAAAACUACUGAUGGGUGAGAACACUGCAUAAAAGCCUAAAUAAAUAGAUAUUACCUGAAACAAAAAAAGCCAAUAGCCUUUUCGCACAUACUUGUGUUUACUACAGGGAAGUUUAGAAUGGCAAGAAAAAAAGUGACAGAAAGCAUCAAGUUGUGUUAAGGUCUCCCUGAGGCUAAGUCACCCAAAGCACAGAUUCUUGGGACCCAGCCUGUAUUUAGUGAACCAGUAAUUAUAGGAUUAAGGCCAAAAAUCUACAUUUAAAAAAAAAAAAAAAAGGAGCUGGUGUU